AGCACGUGUUCAAGAACGCUUUGAAGAGUUCAGGAAGUUAGCACUUCUCUAGGAGCCCUAAUCGUGCCUGUUCUGUGGUGCGGUGAAGUCCCGAGGGAAUCUUCUGACCUGUGGCUAAACAGUUAGACUCAUGGAAGUCAUGGACGACGAAGUGAGAAUGAGCCUGCUUGAAAAACUUCAACGACAAGAGGAUCAAUUCAUUGCCAACUUAAAAUUAAAUAAAUAUGAGGAUGGCCGGAAAGAAGAAACGAGGCAAAAGAAAAUUAUGACUCCGCCUUGGCUGACUCUAGGAUCGCUUCAAAGCUCAAGCCUAUAACUACGUGAAAGCAAUGACAAAAUGUGAUGGAGUCAGACUUUGUUCAAAGCUUUUACGAGUCCUCGACCUUUGGAGAGCAGUUUGAGCUGCUGUUUGGAGACACAGUCAGCCAGCCUGAGUGGAAUGCCAGUGGUCAAUACACUCCCAGCAGUGUUUCAGUAGGUCAAAUU